UAAGGAAUAUUGGACAAUGGACGCAAGUCUGAUCCAGCCAUGCCGCGUGAAGGAUUAAGGUCCUCUGGAUUGUAAACUUCUUUUAUAAGGGACGAAAAAAGGUCUUUCUAGAUCGUCUGACGGUACCUUAUGAAUAAGCACCGGCUAACUCCGUGCCAGCAGCCGCGGUAAUACGGAGGGUGCAAGCGUUAUCCGGAUUCACUGGGUUUAAAGGGUGCGUAGGCGGGCAGGUAAGUCAGUGGUGAAAUCC
rnacentral:rRNA from 1 species